rnacentral:rRNA from 1 species
UUCUAAGGGCGGUGAAGUCAGACCGGAAGGACUGGUGGAGCGCUUAGAAGUGAGAAUGCCGGUAUGAGUAGCGAAAGAAGGGUGAGAAUCCCUUCCACCGAAUAUCUAAGGUUUCCUGAGGAAGGCUCGUCCGCUCAGGGUUAGUCGGGACCUAAGCCGAGGCCGAUAGGCGUAGGCGAUGGACAACAGGUAGAGAUUCCUGUACCAGUGCUAAUUGUUUAACCGAUGGGGUGACACAGAAGGAUAGGGAAUCGCACGAAUGGAAAUGUGCGUCCAAGCAGUGAGUGUGAGAAGUAGGCAAAUCCGCUUCUUGCGAAGCAUGAGCUGUG